CCAGUGAUCGAGGCCAGGGAUUGAACCUGCAACCUCAUGGUUCCUAGUCCCAUUCAUUUCCGCUGCGCCACGACAGGAACACUGAGUUUUCCUUUUCUUUCAGAUGGUCCAUUGGGUUGGGUAUUGUCUGUGGCAACAGAGAGCAGGCCGAGUAGACACGGAGAGGGGGCUUCGAGGCAGAGCGCAGCAAUACUUGCUCGUGGAUUUACAGGUGAAUUCUGGAGCCCUGGCUGCCACUUGGACCAUGAGGGCAACCCUGAGAUGAUUGUGGUGGUAGGAAAGAGCCUGGAUCCUUCGGACUCCUUCAAGCAAAUCCUGAAUGGCCUUUCUCCAGCACUUCCAGCACUUGAUCUGCAGGAGUCUAGGAAAAACAUCUUGUUCUGGGUAGAAAUACGAUUUGCCUGCGUGUUUCCUGGAGCAGAUUCGGGACCCCCUGUCGUGCUUUGUCACAGGAUGAAUCAGCUCCAUCUCAUUGCUGGAUGUCUGACUGGUGAAGAGUUUGGACCCCAACAAGUCAGAAGAGAUUCAAAACCGCUUGGUGUUACGUGGCUUUUAGCGCAGCGACAGGCUGAUGGUGCUUCGGAGAUGCGGCUCCCACGCCUGUCUGGCUCUGGACACUGAAUACAAGUGGGGCAGUGGCUUCCUCA